rnacentral:misc_RNA from 1 species
CGCCUCUUUCGGUCUCUCCUCGUGUACUCUUUCUGCUCAGCGGUGGGCAGGUUGCCGAAAAGGGAUUGUAUCCCUGGUGUACUUGCUUCUUCAUACCUCUCUGCGCGCGUGUCGACGUGCGUGGGUGGCGUCGUAUUCCCUUCCUUCGUUACACCCCUGUCCAUCUCCAUGGGGCGAGGUGUGUGUGUGUGUGGCUACCAUGGGUGUUCACGGCUUAUGGCGACUUCUGGAUUCUUUCGGGGUGGUUGUGCAGCCAGAUGAGCUGAAGGGCAAGCGCGUGGCGAUCGACGCCAGCAUCUGGAUUGCACAGUUUCGCGCCCGCGUCGCGCCGGGCGAGGACACGGAACACAAGGUGCUCGAAGGCUUCCUGGCACGCAUACUGAAGCUCCUCUUCUACGGCAUUCAUCCCGUCUUUGUGUUUGAUGGCCCAGCGUCGUCGUCGAAGGGUGCGGAGCAUCACCGUCGCACGAUGCAGCAGGCCAGGAAUGCGCGGGCUCUCGUGAAGCGCAGGGCGCGCCAGAUACUACUGGCUCAGGUCGCUGCUGGCGCGUUGGAUGUAGAGGAUCUGAAGGUGGCCAUGCCGAGCGGUGCACGCGCGGAGAACAAUGCUGUGAGGGCUCAGAAAGACUCAGACGCGGCCGUGCCUUCGAUGGCUGCCAACGCUGCGGAAGGAACCGGUGUCUCCGAGACACUGCCCCGGGGUGGUGGCGCAGGCCAUGCGCUGGGUGCGACAAGCAGCACACGCAGCAGCGCCAUUCAUGGUGGAAAGCGGCCCAGAGAGGCCUCAGAGGAGGUGCUGCCGCUGCCAAGACCGCACCGCCGCCGGCUCUGCCGCAGACAACGCCGCCUCGCUCCUGAUGCCGUUUCCGCGACGAUUACGCAGAGUUUCCUGAGGGAUGUGGAGGGCCUUCUGGAGGAGCGCACGCGGCAUGAGGCCUGUGUCCUGCAGAACGCUCUGCAGAGCACCAGUACCUCACUCUUUAUGGGACCGCGCCGUACCGUCGACGAAAAUUCUGAGGCCGUGGUCGGUGUGAUUACCUCGGGGCACCUACAGCCGCUGCACCCACACUGCGCUGCCGCCGUGGUAUUAGUGUCUGGAGAUUCGCAAGAAGAAAGAGACGCGACGGGCUGUGUCGUCAUCAGUGACAGCGAGAGCGGCGCCGAGGCGGUCUCGAGUGCCAGCUGCACCGUCGCCUCAACGGACGGUGAAGGGUGUAGCGAUGUGGAAGAGGUUGUCCUGGUGGAAAAAGCGGGCGGCCCUGCUCGCGCAGACGCUCCUGAAGGAGCGCUUUGGCUGCCGUCGUCUGCCUCUUCGCCGUCAGUGGCGACAGCGGUGCUGCAUAGCGGAGACAUGACGCGGUUUCUGAAUGCGCGGUCUCAGUCAACGUGCACACCGCCGCCUGAGCUGAUGCCCUCCACUAUAGCUUCGGAGGGGACAUCAUCGGUAAUCACAUCAUCAUCCUCUGCUGCCCAAUCUGUGAGUGGAGAUGAGGGCAUUGCCACUGAUCCCGGUAGUAGCAGUACGAGCAACAGCAAGAGCGCCGCUUUUCCCAGCGACGGCAGCUCUGAGGAGGCGUACACCUUUACCGAUGGUGGCGAUGGUGAUGACAGUGACGAUGCCGAGUUCGCGUGGGAGCCGUUCACGCAGCGACUACAUCUCGCCCAGCUUCUGCGUCCGCAGGAGCAGGAGAGCGAGUCCCACGCACACUCAUCGUGCUCGACAGCUGCUCAGAUGGUCACUGCGUCCUUCGCUGGGUCACCGCGCACCGACGCCGCUACGGUGGGAAAAGAAGACGGAGAUGAAGACGACUACGCGCCGGUGAGGGCUGUGGAGGUGUUUUCACGGUGUCGCACAGCGCCGGUGCCGCUGCCUAUGGUUGGUUCAACCAGCAGCAAGGGUGAGGGUGAGAAGGACAACUGCACUAUUCCAGUGUCGGCGCCUCAACAUUCAAACGCUGUGAAGGGCGCCGUCUCGGAGGUGACAGGCUCACCUUACUGCAGAAGCGCCGAAGUGCACAGCUUGUCCACCGACCGCAAAAGCUCGCUGGGUGGCUUACCCCCUCGUGGGGGAGGCGCCGCGCGGACCAACCGAGUCGUCAUCCCCUUUGAACUACUCAACGUGGUUGAGCUGCUGGACUGCUGCGGGGUGCCGUAUGUGCUGAGCCCGGCAGAGGCAGACGCCCAGUGUGCGUUCCUGGCUCGGUGCGGCCUCGUGGAUGCCGUUUUCACGGAGGAUAGCGACGUGCUGGUGCAUGGCGCGACGACAGUGCUGCGCGGCUUUUUCGCGCAGUCGAAAAAUGUCGUCGCCUACGAGCAGACACAUCUGUCGGCGUGUGGCAUCACGAAGACCGUGCUUGUGGCACUUGCCUCUCUUCUCGGGUGUGACUACACGGAGGGGGUCUGUGGCAUCGGUCUCGUGGGUGCGCUGGAGGCCUUAGUCGUGGCCUGGACAACAGCGGAAAGUGCGGAGGCGGGCGCCGCGUCCUCCUCAGCGGUCUUACACCUGUUGCGGCGUUGGGCCCUGCUUGUUCAGCGGCCUCCGCGUUCGUGGCAAGAGGUGGAUGACCACAUGACCAUCCUGCAGUUCGCGCUUCUCCGGGCCCACGUGGCGCAGUGGCGCACGCUGGAGCAACGUGCGUGCUUUCCAGAAGCGCAUGCCGUAGAGGCCUUCUUCGAUGCCAAAGUCGAUUUGGACACAACCCCGUUUCAGUGGCUCCCACCAGACUGGCAGCGGAUUCGCGUAUUCGCCGGGGCGCUUGGAGCACUGAGCUCGCCUUGGCUCGUGCAGAGAUACGAGCUCGCGCGCAAGGAGUGCCUGCGGCGCGAAGAGACGGCGGCGAAGGAUCGUGCAUCACUGACUGCUGGCCAGCGGCGGCUGACAGAGUAUGGCGUGCGGGAUCGAGUGCGCGCCAGGUGGGCAUUUCAGAGGCAACCUCCCAAGCACGCCGCGGCCCUUGCCAAGCUGCGCGCUGUGCAGCAGAUGCAGUGAAGCGCAAUGCAAACGACGGCGAGUUACAGCCAAGAAAGCGCUGUGCUCUGGCGGACUCCUCCAUGCAUUGUGCCUACACAGCUGCUGUUUUUUUUUCUGUUCUUUGCCUCGUCCCCCGUUCUGGACGCCGCAGUGGGUUAUGUCUGUGGAGAGGGGAGGGCACUCGCUGCACAUGGGCUAGUGCGCGAUCCGCCGUAUGCGCAGCUGCCCAACUUCCUUCGCGCCCCGAAGCUUUUUCGUUUUUCUUCACUUCGGUUACGCCACCACCUUUCUUUUGCUGCGUCUUCUUUUGUUGUGCGCACACCUCCACCGCUGGCCCGCGUGUGACUGCUUACUCGCAUCCUAUUGCUCUUCUUUUCGUUCGGCAGCGUGUAGCGGCGCGGCGUAUCUGUGUGGCCCCUACCCCCUUUCCCCGACGCCCGAUGUCCAAUGCUGUGCGCAUGAGCGUGUAUUGAUGCGUGCACUCGGACGUGCGCUCUCUCUAUGCGAGUUGGCUAAAAGGUGCUGCGGCUGUGCACAUGGCGCCGUUGCCUCCCUCCCUGCACCCGCCUGUCUUGUAUCCGUCUCUGCACGUUCGCAGCUGCGAAUGCCAUGCAAGUAUAGCGAAUGGCGCCGAAAAGAAGGCAGAGAGAAGGCGCUUGGCUGGGCUAAGAAGCGG